UUCCUACGGGGCGCAGCAGUGGGGAAUAUUGCACAAUGGGGGAAACCCUGAUGCAGCGACGCCGCGUGAGUGAAGAAGUAUUUCGGUAUGUAAAGCUCUGUCAGCAGGGAAGAGAAUGACGGUACCUGACCAAGAAGCCCUGGCUAACUACGUGCCAGCAGCCGCGGUAAUACGUAGGUGGCAAGCGUUAUCCGGAUUUACUGGGUGUAAAGGGCGUGUAGGCGGGACUGGAAGUCAGAUGUGAAAACCAACGGCUCAACC
rnacentral:rRNA from 1 species